GAAGCAUUUAAUCCCUUCUCUCUUUGAGACGGGAGAGCGGAUAGCGAGGAGGAUGCGCAGCCUUGCUUCACGCUGUUUUUAAGUUGACCCCAGUUCUGGAACUUGAAAGCCCAUGAUUCCAAAACACUUUCAUUAAGGAUGAACAUUCUUCAGAACUUCUAUUUUUGUGAAACAUUCCACCAGAUUCAGUCUGUAUCCAAGUCAGAGGGUCACUGCAGUCACCCGUAUCCAGUACGUAUCCAGACCAGAUGGUGGAUCAGCACCUAGAAAGGACCUCUACAGCCCUGAAAGAUAGCGGAGACCAGGACAACUAGAGCCCCAGAGAUAGAUCCCCUGUAAAGACCUUGUCUCAGACGACCACCGGGACAAGACCACAGGAAACAGAUGAUUCUUCUGCACAAUCUGACCUUGCUGCAGCCUGGAAUUGAACUGCUGGUUUCAUCUGGUCAGAGGAGAACUUGCACCCCGACUGAACCUGGUUUCUCCCAAGGUUUUUU
ensembl:lncRNA